UGGGGAAUAUUGGACAAUGGGCGCAAGCCUGAUCCAGCCAUGCCGCGUGGGUGAUGAAGGCCUUCGGGUUGUAAAGCCCUUUUGGCGGGGACGAUGAUGACGGUACCCGCAGAAUAAGCCCCGGCUAACUUCGUGCCAGCAGCCGCGGUAAGACGAAGGGGGCAAGCGUUGUUCGGAAUUACUGGGCGUAAAGGGCGCGUAGGCGGCCUGAUAAGUCAGACGUGAAAGGCCUGGGCUCAACCUGGGAAUUGCGUUUGGGACUGUUGGGCUUGAGAGCGGGAGAGGAUGGUGGAAUUCCCAGUGUAGAGGUGAAAUUCGUAGAUAUUGGGAAGAACACCGGUGGCGAAGGCGGCCAUCUGGACCGUAUCUGACGCUGAGGCGCGAAAGCGUGGGGAGCAAACAG
rnacentral:rRNA from 1 species